GACGAACGCUGGCGGCGUGCUUAACACAUGCAAGUCGAGCGGUAAGGCCCUUCGGGGUACGACGAGCGGCGAACGGGUGAGUAACACGUGGGUGACCUGCCCUUAGCUCUGGGAUAGGCCUGGGAAACUGGGUCUAAUACCGGAUAUGACCUCAUGACGCAUGUUGUGGGGUGGGAAAGCCUUGUGCGGCUAGGGAUGGGCCCGCGGCCUAUCAGCUUGUUGGUGGGGUGAUGGCCUACCAAGGCGACGACGGGUAGCCGGCCUGAGAGGGCGACCGGCCACACUGGGACUGAGACACGGCCCAGACUCCUACGGGAGGCAGCAGUGGGGAAUCUUGCGCAAUGGGCGAAAGCCUGACGCAGCGACGCCGCGUGAGGGAUGACGGCCUCGG
rnacentral:rRNA from 1 species